rnacentral:rRNA from 1 species
GAUGAACGCUGGCGGCGUGCUUAACACAUGCAAGUCGAACGGGAAGUCCCAAUCUUGCUUGGGUACUCGAGUGGCGAACGGGUGAGUAGCACUUGGGUGAUCUGCCCUGCACUUCGGGAUAAGCCUAGGCAACUGGGUCUAAUACGGGCUAGGACCACUUCCUGGUGGUUGGGGUGGAAAGUUUUUUGGGUGUGGGUUGGGUGCGCGGCCUAUCAGCUGGUGGGUGGGGGAAUGGCCUAGCGGGGCGUCGGCGGGUAGCCGGCGUGGGAGGGUGAGCGGCCACAUCGAGACUGGGACACGGACCAGACUCAUACGCGAGGCAGCAGUGGGAAAUACUGAUAAAGGGGCGCAAGCCAGAUGCAGAGACGCCGCGGGGGGGAUGACGGUCUUGGGGUUGUAAACUCAUUGCGCUAGGGACGAAGCGUUUUGUGACAGUACCUGGAGAAGAAGCACCGGCUAACUACGUG